rnacentral:rRNA from 1 species
AGAAGAAGCACCGGCUAACUCCGUGCCAGCAGCCGCGGUAAUACGGAGGGUGCGAGCGUUAAUCGGAAUUACUGGGCGUAAAGCGCACGCAGGCGGAUUGUUAAGCUAGAGGUGAAAGCCCCGCGCUCAACGUGGGAAUUGCCUUUAGAACUGGCAGUCUAGAGUCUUGGAGAGGGGAGUGGAAUUCCAGGUGUAGCGGUGAAAUGCGUAGAGAUCUGGAGGAACAUCAGUGGCGAAGGCGACUCCCUGGCCAAAAACUGACGCUCAUGUGCGAAAGUGUGGGUAGCGAACAGGAUUAGAUACCCUGGUAGUCCACACCGUAAACGCUGUCUACUAGCUGUUUGUGUAUUUAAUUCGUGAGUAGCGAAGCUAACGCGCUAAGUAGACCGCCUGGGGAGUACGGCCGCAAGGUUAAAACUCAAAUGAAUUGACGGGG